UUUAUCAGAGAGUUUGAUCCUGGCUCAGGAUGAACGCUGGCGGCGUGCUUAACACAUGCAAGUCGAACGGGAAACCUUUUAUUGAAGCUUCGGCAGAUUUAGAUUGUUUCUAGUGGCGGACGGGUGAGUAACGCGUGGGUAACCUGCCUUAUACAGGGGGAUAACAGUCAGAAAUGACUGCUAAUACCGCAUAAGCGCACAGAGCUGCAUGGCUCGGUGUGAAAAACUCCGGUGGUAUAAGAUGGACCCGCGUUGGAUUAGCUAGUUGGUGAGGUAACGGCCCACCAAGGCGACGAUCCAUAGCCGGCCUGAGAGGGUGAACGGCCA
rnacentral:rRNA from 1 species